rnacentral:tRNA from 1 species
AUGCUUACAAAGGCUCGCUGCUGGCCUUGGUAAGGGAGAGGCCGAGAGUUCAAAUCUCUCUAGCAGCACCA